rnacentral:rRNA from 1 species
CAUAGCGGGGCGAAGCCUGACCGCAAUGCCGCGUGCAGGAAGAAGGCCUUCGGGUUGUAAACUGCUUUUGUACGGAACGAAACGGUCCUUUCUAAUAAAGAGGGCUAAUGACGGUACCGUAAGAAUAAGCACCGGCUAACUACGUGCCAGCAGCCGCGGUAAUACGUAGGGUGCGAGCGUUAAUCGGAAUUACUGGGCGUAAAGUGUGCGCAGGCGGUUCUAUAAGACAGAUGUGAAAUCCCCGGGCUCAACCUGGGAAUGGCAUUUGUGACUGUAGAGCUAGAGUACGGUAGAGGGGGAUGGAAUUCCGCGUGUAGCAGUGAAAUGCGUAGAUAUGCGGAGGAACACCGAUGGCGAAGGCAAUCCCCUGGACCUGUACUGACGCUCAUGCACGAAAG